rnacentral:rRNA from 1 species
UACGAAAGGUGCAAGCGUUACUCGGAAUCACUGGGCGUAAAGCGCACGUAGGCGGACUCGUAGGUCAGUUGUGAAAUACCUGGGCUCAACCCGGGAACUGCAGCUGAAACCGCUUGUCUUGAAUACCUGAGAGGGUGGGGGAAUACCUGGUGGAGAAGUGAAAUUCGUAGAGAUCAGGUGGAACACCGGAGGCGAAGGCGCCUGCCUGGCAGUGUAUUGACGCUGAGGUGCGAAAGUGCGGAGAGCAAACAGG